GGGGCUGGGCAGCCCAAGCUAGUCUGAAUGGGAACUAUGACAACCUGAGCAGACCAGAACCAGUGGGGGCUGGGCAGCCCAAGCAGGCUCAGAUCCACUGGGGGCUGGGCGGCUCAAGCAAAUCAGAAAGAGGGCUGGGAAAACCGGAGCAGAUCAGAACCAGUGGGGGCUGGGCAGCCCAAGCUAGUCUGAAUGGGGACUGUGACAACCUGAGCAGAUCAGAACCAGUGGGGGCUGGGCAGCCCAAGCAGGCUCAGAUCCACUGGGGGCUGGGCGGCUCAAGCAAAUCAGAAAGAGGGCUGGGAAAACCGGAGCAGAUCAGAACCAGUGGGGGCUGGGCAGCCCAAGCUAGUCUGAAUGGGGACUGUGACAACCUGAGCAGAUCAGAACCAGUGGGGGCUGGGACAAGCCCGGAUCUCCUAUUGGAAUUCAAGGGAUGCUUUUGAGUAGGAUUUGUAAUUGAAUGUCUGGCAUCCUGGAAAGAUAAUUUGUCUGGGGAGGAUAUGCCUCAGCCAGAAGGGCUGGGUAUCUGAAAAGAAUCACAGAUCAAUAGGAAAUACAGUUUCUUAAAGGGACCACAACCCGUUUCAAUCUGAUCCUGGAAAAAAUAAGCCUGGCAUGCUUUUAAAUAUAAUUUGCAUUAUUAAGAUUUUUCUUCCUCACUUCACAAAGUGACAAUCAACUAAACAAUAAACCAAGUCGUGAUUUUUGUAGCAUUUGUUGAUUUUUGAGAUUUAAAUGCUGACUGAAAACUGAAAAAUCAGCUCUCCUGAGCUCAUGAGAGCUGGCUCUCGCCCACCUGGAAAGCACUUAAUGAGCAGGAAAAACACUAUACUUCCUACGCCCCCAGCUCUCAGGGAGCUGUCCAUCAGAGACAAGCCUGAUAAUGCCAGUUAAUGCCUGGGACCUGGGCAUGUGGGUGGAAAUGGGAGACUGAAUCAUCCUUAAAUCCUAGGCAUCUGGGGGAGGAAGUAUUGGAAAGGCUGAGUUGGGCAUUGUUAUUGGUCUCUAGGUCUCUCCCUAGGCGAGCUUUUCUUACAUUCAAUGAAUAAUUGAGCCAAUCUUGGGCUGAAGUUUCAUCUGUUUUGUUUCCACUGGGCCUUCAUAUGAGGAGACAGACUUCUGAGACUCAGCCCUUCCCCAACCUGUUACAGCCUCUGCACCUCUUCAGCUGUUACUGUUACAAUGGGAUCUUGUGGAAUCUCCUUCCCCAUCCCCUGGACGCUCUCUUCAAGACUGUGUCUUUUGCUCUUAACCCAGCUCCUGCCAGGUAUAGAGAACACUCUUUUCAUGGGAGGGCAUAGAAUAGAUGCCAGAUUAUUAGGGGGUGAGAUGCAGAAUGAAUAUUUGGAUUGGUAAUAAGGGAUGCAUGAGAGAAUAAUAGCAAGAUGGAUGGUAGGUUGGUGAAUGGUAAGUAAAAGGAUGAACAGUGGAUAGAAACAGGUAUUUGUUGGCAGGUGGUUGGUGGAUAGAUGGCUUAAAAUGGAUGGUGAAUGAAUAUAAAUUCACAUGAUACUAUAGUCAAAAAAUUAAUUUGAUUUUGGGUUGCAUUGAGGCAUAGUUUUGGGGUGAUAAUUCCAGUCUGCUCUGCACUGGACAGAAUACAGUUAAAGUAUUAUAUUUCCUUGCUGCCAUAUUUUAGAAUAGAUUUUGAUAAACUAGAGAACACCAAGAGGAAUGCAACCAGAAUAAUGAAGAAUAAGAAAGGAACGUGCCAUACCAGUUUAUCCAUUCAAUAAACAGUGAUUAACUGCCUGUUAUGUGCCAGGCAUCCCCUUGAUAAACAGUUUCUGAUAUUAAGGAGCUCAUAUUCUACUGAAAAGAAACAACAUGUACCAUAAGAAUAGUUUUUUUUAAAAAACUAUGUACAGAGUAAUUUCCAGGGAAAGGACACUAGUAACUGUAGGAUUUGGAGAAGUUUCCUAGAAGAAAUGACUCAAGCUGAUCUUUGAAGGAAACUAAGAAUUCUAUGAGGUAGAGGUGGGAAGGCUAAUUAAUUCUAAGCAUUGGGAACAAAUUGCACAAAGGUGCAGAAAUGGGAGGUGAAUUGUCCUAUACAGGAAAGAGCACGACCUCGUGUAGUGAAAGGAUAAGGAUGCUUAUCCAGCAAGAAAACUAAAAAAGUCAGAUAGGUAGGAGAUCCAGGUGCUAAUAGGAUCAUGAAAAUCCAAGAAGGAAAGAAGGUCCCGGAGGAAAGAGUAUCAAAUACUGCAGAGAGGUCAAGAUGGAUAAGAAUAGAGGAAAAAGUCAUCAAAUCUAAAUAUUAAGAAAACAUUGAUAAUUGGAGAAGAAUAAAUUCAGUUGAGCAAUAGGGUCAGAAGGACAACGGCAAAGGACUGACAAGUAAAAUAUAGGAAAGUAUACAUGAAAAUGUGUGUAUUUCAUACACAUAAAAGGAUAUGAGUGUUGAUCCUUUUAUCUAACAGUUACUGUGAAAAGGAAAAAGCCAAGAUGAUAGUUUGAAAAAUAAUUAGAAGGGAAUAGGAUCAAAUGAGGGUUUGAAAAAAAAAUUAACAUUUAUAUAGUAUGUGUCAGACAUUCGGUUAAGCACUUUAAAAUUAUUUUCAGAUUUAAUCUUUAUAACAAUCCUAGGGGGUAGAUGCUAUUAUUCUUCCCAUUUCACAGAUUAGAAAACUCAGGCAGAUAGAAGUGGAGUGACUGAUUGUCUGAGGCCAUAUUUAAACUCAAAAGUUUUUUUUUAAACUCUAAACUCAAGAGUAAUAAUCACUGUACCACCUAGCUGACUUUUUAAGAAUGUGGGAGAUGUAGGCAUAUUUGCAAGUAAUAAGUACCUAGCAGAUAACAAGAGGAUGACUAAGGAGAUGAGCAUUCAGAAGAGAUCUGAGAGAACAUGAUCAAAGGCUCAGAUGGAAGGGUUGGUAUCUGCAAGGGGGAUCACUUCUUCCUCUAAGAUUGGAGCAAAGGAGUAAAGAAUGAAAGAUGCUGUUAAGAUAUUUUGAAACAAAGACACUGGCUAUAUUUAACUUAAAGUUUUAAGGAAUUGGGUUACAUGGUUUUUAAUCUUCAGGUAUCUGAAGGUUUGUCACUUGGAAUGGAAAACUUACUUUAUUUUGACUUGGCCCCAAAGAACAGAAUAGGAACAAGUGGAGGAAAUUGUAAAGGCACAUUCAGACUUGAUUUAAGGAAAAAUUUCCCAAAUGGUGCCUUCAAGGCUCAUUGUUGGAUGUUCCCUUCCAAGAUGGGAUAUAAGAUGGAUGUGAUAUGAAUGUUGAAUGUUGAUAAUAGACUAAUAAGUGAUAGAUGAAUGAACAUUGGAUAAUAGUACAUGGAAUAUUAAUAAGUGGUCAAUAAUAGACGGAUGGUGAGUAGUAGAAAGUAGAUGAUGGGUUGUAGAGAAUAGAAGGAGGGAUGGUAGGUGGGUGGGUAAUGCAUAGUAGGUGGAGAGAGGAUGGUGAUGGUGAAUGGGGCUUAGAUGGGGCUUAGAUGGACUAUGGGUGAAUGGUGAUGACACAGAAUGGUGAGGGGGAUAGAAGAUAGAAAAGAGAUAACGGCUAAAGAAUGGAUAGAUGGCAGAUGAUGGGUGGUGAAUAUGUGUAAGAGUGAAUGAAAAGAAAGCUGGUAGCUGAACUGAAGCUAGGUAGGAGAUGGAUGGUAGAUGUACCUACAUCUCUCCUUUCCUGCUUUUAGGCUCUCAAGCAGCUGAAGGAAAGCUUGCACAGCAACUGCUCCAUGACCUCUUUGCUAACUACACUAGUGCCCUUCGGCCUGUAGAAGACACAGAUCAAGCUCUAAAUGUGACACUAGAUGUGACUCUGUCCCAAAUCAUUGACAUGGUGAGUGGCAGCUGUAGGAAUGUUUUAACUUCAUAGGCAUAAAAGUCAGAAUGUACUGUGCAUGUGCAUGUGAUUGUCUAUACAUGGCUAUCUUUGCACAACCACACAUGUGUGCAAUUGUGUGUAUGCUUUUGUGUAGCUGUGUGUAAGUUACCAUAUUUAUAGGGCACUUUGGUAUUUCUCACCAGUCCUGUUCUUCCCCAGGAUGAACGAAAUCAGGUACUGACCUUAUACCUGUGGAUUCGCCAAGAGUGGGCUGAUGCCUAUCUGCACUGGGAGCCUGAGGUCUAUGGGGGUCUUGACUCCAUAAGAAUCCCCAGUAGCCUGGUCUGGAGACCUGAUAUUGUGCUCUAUAACAAGUAUGACUCUAUAAUAAUAAUAGCUAACCAUUGUAUGGCUAAAGUUUGCAGUUAUGUAUGUUAUCUCUUUUUAAUAUUUAAUAUUUUCAUUUCCCACUUACAUGUAAACAAUUUUUUACAUUUGUUUUUAAAACACUGAGUUCCAGAUUCUCUUCCCUCCUUCCCACUGCAACCCCCAUCAAGAAGGCACAUGUAAAGUUAUGCAAAAACAUUUCCCUAAAAAUCAUGUUGUGAAAGAAAACAUAGCUCUUCCCCCUCAAAAAAAAAAAAAAACCCUCAAGGGAAAAAGUAUACUUCAAUCUGUAUUCAGACACAAUUAGUUCUUCCUUUGGGUAUGGACAGCAUUUUUCAUCCUAAAUUCUUCAGAGUAGUUGUGGAUUACUGUAUUGCUGAGAAUAGCAAAGUAAUCCACAGUUGCUACAAUCUACAACAUUGCUAUAACUUUGUACAAAAUAUAUUUCACUUUGCUUGAGUUCAUGGAGGACUUUCCAGAUUUUUCUGAGAGCAUCCUGCUCAUCAUUUCCCAAGAACAAUAAUAUUCCAUCAUAAUCACAUAGCACAAUUUAUUCAGCCAUUCCCCAGUUGAUGGGCCUCCUUUUAAUUUCUGCUUCUUGCCCUGAGAAGAGAGCUGCUAUAAAUAUUUUUGUACAUCUCUUGGGGCCAUGGAGUGGUAUUGUUAGAUCAAAGAUUAUGCAUAAUUUUAUAGCCCUUUGGGCAUAGUUCAUAUCUUUUGCUCAUUUAUCAAUUGGGGAAUGGUUCUUUUUUAUAUAAAACUGACUCAGUUCCCUAUACAUUCUCUACACAUACAAUGAAGCCUUCAUCAAAGAAACUUGCUUCAAAAUCCUUUUCCCAAUUACUAUUAUUAACUGUAUUUUCCACCAGUUUAUUCUGUUCUCUCUCUCCUUUCACCCUGACCUUCCUCAAGUGUUUUGCUACUGACUAUUCCCUCUCUCAAUAUGCCUUUUCUUAUAACACUCUCCCCCCUUCCCUUAUCCUCUUCUUUAUAUAUAUUAUCUUGUUUUAUUCUCACAAUGACCCUGUGAAAUAUGUACUAUUAUUAUUCCCAUUUUGCAGAUGAAGAAACUGAGAUACAGCACACUGGGCUCUCUGAUAAUAGCCUAGAUUAUAAUUCCCCAAACUGUUAGUCAACAAGAAUUUAUUAAGCACUUACUAUGUGCUAGGCACUGUGCUAAGUAUUGGGGCUACAAAGAGAAGCAAAAACUGUCCCUUCCUUCAGGGAGCUCACAUUCCCCAAAAAAACAAAAACAAAAACAAAAACAUGUAAAUAAGACAUAUACAGUGAGGGAAUUUAUUAACAAGGAGAUAUCAAGUAGAACACAAAAUUCUGGGGAAACCAGCAUAAGUUAUAAAGCAGAUGGGAAAAUAGUCAAUAAGUCAGUCAACAAGCAUUUAUUAAGCACUUACUAUAUGUCAGGCACCAUGCUAACACAAAGAGAAGCAAAAACAGUCCCUUUCCUUUGAGGUCAUAUUCUAAUACAGGAGAUGACAUGAAAAUAACUGUUUCACACACACCAGUAGGGGAGAGAUGUUAUAAUGGAGAGAUAAAGUAAAAACAAAACUCAGGAAAACCAGCAAAACAUACAAAGCAGAAGGAGAAACAGGCUAGGGCAAAGAAAGCAUAAGGCGCAAUGAGGCAGGUAGGGGAUUGAACAGAGCAGAGAAUGAAAUAGAGCAGAAAAAGAGGGUAGAGAAGAAACAAGGCAGAGAAAGAAAUUGGCCCAAAGGAGAAAAGGGUCAUUGGUGUUAAGUAGGAAAAGUACAGAAGCAAAAGAGCAAAGCGAAGAAGAGGGGAACCAGAGAAGUGGUCCUCAAAACCGGAAGAAAAGAAAACAGUAGAAGAGAAACAGUGAAGUAGGGGAAACAGUGCAAGAGGGGAAACAGACUACAGGGUAGAAGGAAACGGACACAAGAAUAAAGGGAGACAGAAGGCAAGAACCGGAGUGGGGUGGUGAUGGAGGAAAGAGUAGAAGAUAACGGUUGAUGCAAAAGUUAGCAUGGGAGAAAUAAAUUCAAGGCAGAGCAAAGGGGGAAACAGCCCAGAGGAGGCCGAGCUGGAAGGAAAUUGCUCUAGGAAGAAUAAGAAAGAGCAGUGAGGAAUCUGAGUUAAGGGAAACUGAGAAAAGUGAAACAGGGAAUAGAGAAUUUGGUAGAGGGAGCAAAAAAGCAGGAAGGGAAAUAUAGGGAAGCAGCAGAUCCCAAGCAAGAUGGGAUCCGUGGAGAACAAAGGAUUCUCCUUUGCUCGUAGUCUCCGAAUAAAAGGUGGAUGGCUAAUAUGUUGUAGGAGGAGUCUUCAGGAAGGUUGGAGCAGCUGGCCCCUUGAGAUCCCUCCCAACUCUGAGAUGCGGUGGUUGGCAAGGAAAAGGAGCAGCGAGGGGAGCUAGAUGGGUACUUUGGACAUCCAUGGCCCUCUAUCCCCUUUAGAGAUGGGUUUGGGAAUUCAAGUUCCUUCCCCACCAAGGACGCACCUUUCUGUUCACUCACGACGGGCCUCCCAGACAGGGUCCCUCUGUC